CUUUCUUGCUCCUUGCGAGGAACAGAGGGAAAGCUUGUUCCAGCAGACGGGCCCCAUCCGCUCCACCCGGCUCUGCUGGAGCAAGGGCUGGAAAAGAGGGAUAGAGGCGAAGGGGUAUCUCCCACCCCUCCGGGGCCCCGCGUGCCGCCUGCGUGCUGCUUCCCAGCAAAUACGAUGAAAAAUAAGGACCGUGAGGACUCUGCCCCCGUGGACCUGGCUCUGUGCUGUGGACGGAGGAGCCGGGGCAGCAGCAGGGAGGACUGACCUUGCAGCAAAGGGGGAAGCGGCUGCCAGCUCCGGUUUGAUGGCAGCCAGUGUUUGUGUUACAGCAAGAAGGCGGAGAGGCAGUUCUGGGAAAGGGCUGGGGAGGGGUGGGUGGUGAAGGAAAACAAAGUGGAAAAGAGCUUGAGAGGGAUGCGGCAGGGCUGAGAUCUCUUGUGCACCUGCCUAUCUUUUGUCUGGGUGUAAAGUCCCUGUUUCUCAAGCCCGUUGUAACUCCCUGGGGAGAGAAGGGAAGGAGAAUCCAUGGAGAUGAUCUGGAAUAUCCCCAAAUGAAGCCAAAUUCUGCUGGAAAAGUCUGUAAAAAACCAACACUGUAAGGGGGACCAAGCCCCUGCUGUAGGAUCCUUGGAGCUGUAUUAAAAGUCUGAAGAAAGAUAUGCACCAUGGACUGAAUUAAUUCCGAUCUUCGCUUGCCACAUCAUCUUCGUCAUCCUUAACGUGUUACAUACAAGGACCCUGGUGAGCACAUUGACUUGUGCUCAUAGGAUCAGAGAAUAAAUCAGGUUGGAAGGGACCUCAGGAGGUCACCUAGCCAAAGCUGCUGCCCAGGGCAGGAAGUCACCAGGCACUCGUUGUUAGGUAGUUUUCCUCCUCUCAGUUGGCAAGAACUGCUGUAAGUGUGUUCAUUUUAUUAACAAUUUGUAUCUGCUAUUUCAGGCUGUACCUAGAGCCAUACAGACAGACUCUGGCCCUGGCACCUUGCAAGCUGCUGUACACAUUCUGCACACUUGGGUGACUUCAAGAGAGGACUAUAUCAUGACCCAUUCUUGCAUAUGAGCAGAGGAAUCACUGCUGCUCAAGCUGAACGUAUAAGCUCCUUCUAGCCACAGUUAAAGGAGACUCAAAAGCCAAGAAUAAGGGGGAAAUAGAGCCAUUUACUGAGUGACCAUGGCUUGAAGACUACAUCAAGAGUAUGGGCAUGAGAUCCAUGGCUGAGGCAUAUCAGGCCAUUAGUGACUUGCCAUGUCCCACACCAGCUUGCUCACUGGUGGCUUUCCCACCCUCACUGCCUCUGCUCCUGCCCCUUCCAUGCUGCCCUGAAGCUCCUUCUCAGGACUGAUGAUCAUUCACUCUCCCUGGACUCCUAACUCAAACCGCAUAUGUUUCUCCUCGUGCUCUGGGCUACCUUCUCCUUAACUUCUGCUUUGGUUUAAAAAUAUUUCUGAGUAUAUACAAUAUGUUUGCAACAUCUUUUGAGUCAGAAUACUGUUUGUUGUUACAGCUUCUGUCCACGUUACCUUCCUCUUCCUUUGACUCCUCUUAUGCUUUCUCCUUGAGACAUACUUUACCUUGGAAAGGGCUCUUCUUUGCAACUUCUCAAAGUAAAGCAGGAGAAGAAAGCUUUGGUAGGUUUUACUGUUGUUUUUUUCUCCAAAGUAUUCGGAAAGGUUUGUGGUGGUUGUUGCCUUUUAAAAUUUUAAUGGCAAAUUUCAAUACUGAAGCUUUCCAUCCUGGUAAUGGUUUUUUUACCAGAAAAAGAAAGGGAAGGGAAGCCUGAAGGAGCAGUGAAAUUUUGUUUUCCAACUUCAUUGCAUAAAGAAACACAGACAGCUUUUACCAACAUUUUCACUUGCAAAAAGACAAUUUGUUAGUAAUUUCUGGGGUCUGUUUUUACUAUAGAUGAAGAUGAAUAAGAACAAAGUCUUUGCUACAACACAGUAAGCUUAUCUUUUCUACUUCAGGCCAGGGGACACGCUCCAGCCCAGAGGACAAGGAGCCACAAGCAGGCCUGCCCCUUAGCAGUGGAGCAAGGUAAAUUGAAAAAGUCAAGUGGAGUGAAACAGAGCAGGCAAGGCUCUCUGUGCUGCAUCCUGUAAAUGCUGCGAUGCUUUAACGUGGACAGGCAUCCUCAGACCCGCAGAGAAAAGGAAGGACGUCCUCGGCCACCCUGAGCAUCCUUCCCCAGUUAACUGUAUUCACUUCUACAGAUUAAAUUGCACUGGCUCCUUCUUGGUCUAU